GCUAAAGGAUGACUCCUUCUCUUCUUGAACUCCUCUCCCAGCCAACCACAACGUGUUGCUCAUCAGGCCUUAAUUAAGUUCCCCAAUUGACAACCAACUCACCUCUAUAUUAUGGCACACGUGGAUUUUGGUUUACUUUUUGCCGGACUGUGAAGCUCCCGUUUGUACACAUAAUUUUCAUUCUUUCCAAGUCUGUAAAAUUAUCCUCAGGUUUCUUCUUUGUAUUUUGCCUGAACAACAAAAAUCAACCCUGGCCUCCAACGGGGUGCUUCGAUAAGAGCCCUGCAGGAUAACUGAAGAACUUGAUGAUUAGACCGCAAGACUCCUUGACGUUAACCAAACCAUCUUGCCAGAAGUUACUCAUGCUGGCUUUCAUAUUGAUGAAAAGGAAAUACUAUGUUGUUUGUACAGUACAGACAUGCAUAGAAACAUGUCCCAAGCAGUGACAAUUGCUAGUUCCCUAGGUGGCAGCUCAUCUGGAUGGUCUGGCAUUGAUGUUUGUAUGACGGCAAACCGGCUGUCACUCCAGGAAACGUCCACCUUUAAGCAAAAUGAAUGAAUAAAUAUCCAUUUGUGAAAAUGCAUAAGGACAGAACCAAGUUGAUCUACUCCUGUCUACUGUCCGGUGUCUUUCACUUCUACGGAGCAUGCGUUUCCUCAAAACCCAACCUUUCCCUUGGUCUUUCCACAAGCUUCUUGUGUCCACUUGGGGGUUUUGAGUGUCAAACCUCAAAGGCUUCAGAGAUGACAUUUAAUACUUGUUGCUUCAUAAAUAAACAAUUUUUAUAAGAUUGUUAGUCGUCAUUUUUCUGGUUUUUCUUUCCAGUAAGAGUUUAUAUCAAUACAAUGUCGGUACUGUUGGCAGAAUAUGAACUUGAAAAGCAGGCCAAAGGGUGGCACUCCAAAUGAAUUAAAGGUGAUGUCAGAUUUUAAGAGCUGUAAUUUUUUAGUAAUCUCUGGGCCAUCCGUCAGCUAUUUGAGGG
ensembl:lncRNA